GACAGGGAAGUGUUAGUACCAUUAUACAAGGCACUGAGCAAAAAGAAGCCAUAUACUUUCCAUUUUUAGACGAAUGAAAAACAAGACAAUGAAAAAUAGAGACUCGAGGAGAGAGCUUAGUAUGUCUCCUUUAUAACGUGCUCCCAUCUUGAAAUGAAACAACUGCCCAAAACAGAGGGCUUCACAGCAGACAAGCUCCUUGAAAAUGAAGAGGCAAGUAUGUACUUGAUGGAUUUUAUCUUACACUAGUUUGUUAAUUCUCCAGGGCAUGGACUACUUUGUUAAUUUGAACAAUGCCUAGCACAAGGCAUCCCCACUGAGGCAGUGGUGUGCUACGAGAUCACAAAAUAAGGAUAAUACCCACUGUAGAGGUAAAUGAACUAUAAACACACUUGUUGUCAUACUGAAAGACAUUCCUACCUCUAGUUGUCUGACUGAAGGCUUGUCUCCACUUACCGGGGGAUUGACACAUGGCAAUCGAUCCACCGGGGGUCAAAUCAACCGCAGAGUGCACUCCCAUCAACUCUGGUACUCCAUCGGAACGAGAAGCAUAAGUGGCCCGGUUCUGCCCUUAGAUACUUCAAACACUACAAACAUUCAACUGGAUUUGAAGAUGACAUGCAAGGCCUUAAAAAGAAAUGUUGGAUUUAAUACAUGGGUUAAAUGCCAUUUCUUCCAAUUGUGUUACCUCUGAUUUACAUCAGUUUCAAUGAGAUCAGAAUCCAGCUACUGAACUUAAAAUUA